rnacentral:rRNA from 1 species
GUGGGGAAUCUUGCGCAAUGGGCGAAAGCCUGACGCAGCCAUGCCGCGUGAAUGAUGAAGGUCUUAGGAUUGUAAAAUUCUUUCACCGGGGACGAUAAUGACGUUACCGACAGAAUAAGCACCGGCUAACUUCGUGCCAGCAGCCGCGGUAAUACGAAGGGUGCAAGCGUUAAUCGGAAUUACUGGGCGUAAAGCGUAUGUAGGCGGCAAGUUAAGUUCAAUGUUAAAGCCCACGGCUCAACCGAGGAGAUGCAUUGAAUACUGGCUAGCUAGAGGGUGUUAGAGGAAGACGGAAUUCCCAGUGUAGCGGUGAAAUGCGUAGAUAUUGGGAGGAACAUCGGUAGCGAAAGCGGUCUUCUGGGACAUACCUGACGCUGAGGUACGAAAGCGUGGGGAGCAAACGGGAUUAGAUACCCCUGUAGUCC